rnacentral:rRNA from 1 species
UAGCAUAUCAAUAAGCGGAGGAAAAGAAACCAACAGGGAUUGCCCUAGUAACGGCGAGUGAAGCGGCAACAGCUCAAAUUUGAAAUCUGGCGCAAGCCCGAGUUGUAAUUUGUAGAGGAUGCUUCUGGCCAGCGGCCGUUCUAAGUUCCUUGGAACAGGACGUCAUAGAGGGUGAGAAUCCCGUAUGUGACCGGCGCGCAGCCUUUACGUAGCUCCUUCGACGAGUCGAGUUGUUUGGGAAUGCAGCUCUAAAUGGGAGGUAAAUUUCUUCUAAAGCUAAAUACCGGCCAGAGACCGAUAGCGCACAAGUAGAGUGAUCGAAAGAUGAAAAGCACUUUGGAAAGAGAGUUAAAAAGCACGUGAAAUUGUUGAAAGGGAAGCGCUUGCAACCAGACUUCGUAGCGAUGUUCCGCCGGUCUUCUGACCGGUCUACUCAUCGUCGCGAGGCCAACAUCGUCUGGGGCCGCUGGAUAAGACCUAAGGAAUGUAGCUUCCCUCGGGAAGUGUUAUAGCCUGUGGUGAUGCAGCGUGUCUCGGGCGAGGUCCGCGCUUCGGCAAGGAUGUUGGCGUAAUGGUUGUCAGCGGCCCGUCUUGAAACACGGACCAAGGAGUCUAACAUCUAUGCGAGUGUUCGGGUGUCAAACCCCUACGCGUAAUGAAAGUGAACGGAGGUGGGAAGCGCAAGCUGCACCAUCGACCGAUCCUGAUGUCCUCGGAUGGAUUUGAGUAAGAGCAUAGCUGUUGGGACCCGAAAGAUGGUGAACUAUGCCUGAAUAGGGUGAAGCCAGAGGAAACUCUGGUGGAGGCUCGCAGCGGUUCUGACGUGCAAAUCGAUCGUCAAAUUUGGGUAUAGGGGCGAAAGACUAAUCGAACCAUCUAGUAGCUGGUUCCUGCGA